GACGAACGCUGGCGGCGUGCUUAACACAUGCAAGUCGAACGGAAAGGCCCUGCUUGCAGGGUACUCGAGUGGCGAACGGGUGAGUAACACGUGGGUGAUCUGCCCUGCACUUCGGGAUAAGCCUGGGAAACUGGGUCUAAUACCGGAUAGGAGCCAUUUUUAGUGUGAUGGUUGGAAAGUUUUUUCGGUGUAGGAUGAGCUCGCGGCCUAUCAGCUUGUUGGUGGGGUAAUGGCCUACCAAGGCGGCGACGGGUAGCCGGCCUGAGAGGGUGGACGGCCACAUUGGGACUGAGAUACGGCCCAGACUCCUACGGGAGGCAGCAGUGGGGAAUAUUGCACAAUGGGCGCAAGCCUGAUGCAGCGACGCCGCGUGGGGGACGACGGCCUUCGGGUUGUAAACUCCUUUCGCUAGGGACGAAGCUUUUUGUGACGGUACCUAGAGAAGAAGCACCGGCUAACUACGUG
rnacentral:rRNA from 1 species